rnacentral:rRNA from 1 species
GGGGGGAGCAAACGUUGUUCGGAAUCACUGGGCGUAAAGGGCGCGUAGGCGGCCUUGCAAGUGGUGUGUGAAAUGCCCUGGCUCAACCAGGGAACUGCGCCCCAAGCUGCAGGGCUUGAGGGCAGUAGAGGAAGCUGGAAUUCCUGGUGUAGCGGUGAAAUGCGUAGAUAUCAGGAGGAACACCGUUGGCGAAGGCGAGCUUCUGGGCUGAUCCUGACGCUGAGGCGCGAAAGCUGGGGGGGGAGCAAACAGGAUUAGAUACCCUGGUAGUCCCAGCCCGUAAACGGUGAACACUAGGUGUGGGGGGUGUCGACCCCCCUUUCCGUGCCGUAGCUAACGCAUUAAGUGUUCCGCCUGGGGAUACGGUCGCAAGGCUG